AUACUGGGUCAGAGAGACAGGGAGCCCUUCUAUCUGAGUCUGGGGCCUUUCUCAGAUGAGAGGGGAGGAUCUAGUGAUCAGACAGGGAAAUUGAAGAUCUUUGUGACUAAGACUCAAGUCAAUUGGGGGUAGAUGAGGAGUAAGGUAAGCAAAGCUAAAGAAAUCUGGGGAAAGAUACACAUAAAGAUACAAACACAGAAGGUCAAAUACUGGCCAAGGAUAGAAUGUUGAUCCCAAAACUCAUGCACUUUUCUGUGGACACUGAGACUUGAACAAAUCAAUAACUUGAGAAUGUAAGCAGCCCUCUGCCAUGUUAUACUUUGUUGAGUUAUAUAACAGUUGGGGGAAAACCUAAACAAUGGUACAUGUGUUAAGGUAGACAGUUAAAUUGUCCCUCCACCACUCCCUGUCUCAUUCCCAACCCUGCUCUCCAGGCCAGGCUCAUAAAAGUUGUUACUCAUUUUAGCCAUUCCUUCAGCCAAUAUUCAUCUUAUUCAUUCUUACAAUCACCCUGUGAGGUAAGAGCUAUCAUUAUGCCUUUAUUUUGAAAAUUGUAGUAAAAUAGACAUAGAAUUUAGCAUUUUAACUGUUUGUAAACAUACAGUUCAGUGGCAUUAGGUACAUCCACAUUAUUGUGCAACCAUCACCAUCAGCCACAUUCAGAACUUUUUCAUCUUCCCCCACUGAAACUCCACCCAGCAAACAAUACCUUCACAUUCCCCACUUUCCUUAGCCCUGGCAACCACCAUUCUACUUUCUGUAGAAUGUAACCACUUUAGAUGCCUUUUAUUUUAUUUUUUAUUUAUUUGUUUUUUUGAGACGGAGUCUUUCUCUGUCACCAAGCCAGAGUGCUGUGGCACGAUCCUGGCUCACUGCAACCUCUGCCUCCUGGGUUCUAGUGAUUCUCCUGCCCCAGCUUCCCGAGUAGCUGGGAUUACAGGAACACGCCACCACGCCCAGCUAAUUUUUGU
rnacentral:lncRNA from 10 species